UGAAUGACUUGGAGUGCGGGAGAGGAAAGUGGAAUUCCUGGUGUAGCGGUGAAAUGCGUAGAUAUCAGGAGGAACACCGGUGGUGUAGACGGCUUUCUGGACCGUAACUGACGCUGAGACACGAAAGCGUGGGUAGCAAACAGGAUUAGAUACCCUGGUAGUCCACGCCCUAAACGAUGCAUAUUUGGUGUGGGCAGUUCAUUCUGUCCGUGCCGGAGCUAACGCGUUAAAUAUGCCGCCUGGGGAGUACAGUCGCAAGGCUGAAACUCAAAGGAAUUGACGGGGGCCCGCACAAGCGGUGGAGCAUGUGGUUCAAUUCGACGCAACGCGAAGAACCUUACCUGGGCUCGAACGGCUGGUCAACGGCGGUGGAAACAUCGCUACUCCGCAAGGGGGUCCAGUCGAGGUGCUGCAUGGCUGUCGUCAGCUCGUGUCGUGAGAUGUUGGGUUAAGUCCCGCAACGAGCGCAACCCUUGUCCUGUGUUGCCAUACCGCAAGGUGGAACUCGCAGGAGACCGCCAGGGAUAACCUGGAGGAAGGUGGGGAUGACGUCAAGUCCUCAUGGCCUUUAUGUCCAGGGCUACACACGUGCUACAAUGGACGGUACAAAGCGCAGCUAACCCGCGAGGGGGAGCCAAUCGCAAAAAACCGUUCUCAGUUCGGAUUGCAGGCUGCAACUCGCCUGCAUGAAGCUGGAAUCGCUAGUAAUGGCAGAUCAGCACGCUGCCGUGAAUACGUUCCCGGGCCUUGUACACACCGCCCGUCACAUCACGAAAGUGGAUUGUACUAGAAGUCUGCGCGCUGACCCGCAAGGGAGGCAGCGGCCCAAGGUAUGAUUCAUGAUUGGGGUGAAGUCGUAACAAGGUAACC
rnacentral:rRNA from 1 species